rnacentral:rRNA from 1 species
UACGAAGGGUGCUAGCGUUGUUCGGAAUUACUGGGCGUAAAGCGCGCGUAGGCGGCUUCUCAAGUCAGGGGUGAAAUCCCACGGCUCAACCGUGGAAUUGCCUUUGAAACUGUGAAGCUGGAGUGUCGGAGGGGAUAGCGGAAUUCCUAAUGUAGAGGUGAAAUUCGUAGAUAUCAAGCGGAACACCGGUGGCGAAGGCGGCCUUCUGGACAGUGACUGACGCUGAGACGCGAAAGCGUGGGGAGCAAACAGG